rnacentral:rRNA from 1 species
AUUGAACGCUGGCGGCAGGCCUAACACAUGCAAGUCGAGCGGGGUUUUCGGACCUAGCGGCGGACGGGUGAGUAAUGCGUAGGAAGCUACCCGAUAGAGGGGGAUACCAGUUGGAAACGACUGUUAAUACCGCAUAAUGUCUACGGACCAAAGUGUGGGACCUUCGGGCCACAUGCUAUCGGAUGCGCCUACGUGGGAUUAGCUAGUUGGUGAGGUAAUGGCUCACCAAGGCGACGAUCUCUAGCUGGUUUGAGAGGAUGAUCAGCCACACUGGAACUGAGACACGGUCCAGACUCCUACGGGAGGCAGCAGUGGGGAAUAUUGGACAAUGGGCGCAAGCCUGAUCCAGCCAUGCCGCGUGUGUGAAGGAGGCCUUCGGGUUGUAAAGGCACUUUCAGCGAGGAGGAAGAGUUGUGUGUUAACUAGUACACAGCUUUGACGUUACUCGUCAGAAGAAGCACCGGCGUAACUCUGUGCCAGCAGCC